CUGCGUAUACUUUUCAGAUAUAUGUAAAUUGACCAACAGGGAACCCUUAUAUGGGAAUGUCAUUGAUGCCUUCUCAGAAAAGCAAUUGGCACUCCAACCAACCAUUGAAGAAUUUGAGAAAAACGAUCUAGUCUUUGCAAGCAAUCCAUACGCAGGAAGAUCUUACGUUUUCUCAACACUCAUCAAUACUCCACUACAAAACCAAGAUCA